UAGGGAAUCUUCGGCAAUGGACGAAAGUCUGACCGAGCAACGCCGCGUGAGUGAAGAAGGUUUUCGGAUCGUAAAACUCUGUUGUUAGAUAAGAACAAGGACGUUAGUAACUGAACGUCCCCUGACGGUAUCUAACCAGAAAGCCACGGCUAACUACGUGCCAGCAGCCGCGGUAAUACGUAGGUUGCAAGCGUUGUCCGGAUUUAUUGGGCGUAAAUCGAGCGCAGGCGGUUUCUUAAGUCUGAUGUGAAAGGCCCCGGCUCAACCGGGGGGGGUCAUUGGAAACUGGGGGAGUAGAGGGCAGAAGAGGGGAGUGGAAUUCCAUGUGUAGCGGUGAAAUGCGUAGAUAAAUGGAGGAACACCAGUGGCGAAGGCGGGUCUCUGGUCUGUAACUGACGCUGAGGCUCGAAAGCGUGGGGAGCAAACAGG
rnacentral:rRNA from 1 species